GGAGGUUUGGCAGAGUGGUCGAAUGCGGCGGUCUUGAAAACCGUUGAGGGUGCAAGCCCUCCGUGGGUUCGAAUCCCACAACCUCCG
rnacentral:tRNA from 1 species